AUUGAACGCUGGCGGCAUGCUUUACACAUGCAAGUCGAACGGUAACAGGGAGCUUGCUCCGCUGACGAGCGGCGAACGGGUGAGUAAUAUAUCGGAACGUACCCAAGAGUGGGGGAUAACGUAGCGAAAGUUACGCUAAUACCGCAUACGAUCUAUGGAUGAAAGCAGGGGACCUUCGGGCCUUGUGCUCCUGGAGCGGCCGAUAUCUGAUUAGCUAGUUGGUGAGGUAAAGGCUCACCAAGGCGACGAUCAGUAGCUGGUCUGAGAGGACGACCAGCCAAACUGGAACUGAGACACGGUCCAGACUCCUACGGGAGGCAGCAGUGGGGAAUUUUGGACAAUGGGCGCAAGCCUGAUCCAGCAAUGCCGCGUGAGUGAAGAAGGCCUUCGGGUUGUAAAGCUCUUUUGUCAGGGAAGAAACGGCUGUGGCUAAUAUCCACGGCUAAUGACGGUACCUGAAGAAUAAGCACCGGCUAACUACGUGCCAGCAGCCGCGGUAA
rnacentral:rRNA from 1 species